CCAGCUCACACCUUUCAAAGAUCUUGCCCUGGACAAUGACGGAAAGGAAGAGAAUCCCGAGAAGAAGGAGAGCCUUCAUGUUGACUGGGAAGCCAGACCUCCAGGCUGACCAGGGAGAGCAGUCCUCGAGCCGCAGCUGAAACCCUAAAAGAGUAGAAGGACAAAGAAUUUCCUCCUCCUGUCAUUUCUAGUGAUGAGGAUGGGAGAGUAGAAGGCUGGAAAACGCUUCUCUCCACAAAGACUGCAGUUGACUUGUGGGGUAACUGACAACAGACCAGCAGAAGGUACGAGUUCUUACCAUGUGAGCCUCCCAGAUCUCUGACUAUAGUUUCCAGCCAAGAGAAGAGUAUAAAACUUUCUCCUUUUCCCUUCCUCUCCAAAUUCAUCAUGGGAGGAGAAUAACAUUUC